rnacentral:rRNA from 1 species
GACAGAGGGUGCAAACGUUGUUCGGAAUUACUGGGCGUAAAGGGCGCGUAGGCGGCCUGCUAAGUCACACGUGAAAUCCCUCGGCUCAACCGAGGAACUGCGUGUGAUACUGGCGGGCUUGAAUUCGGGAGAGGGAUGUGGAAUUCCAGGUGUAGCGGUGAAAUGCGUAGAUAUCAGGAGGAACACCGGUGGUGUAGACGGCUCACUGGACCGUAACUGACGCUGAGACACGAAAGCGUGGGUAGCAAACAG